AGGGCGCAUGGUGGAUGCCUUGGCACUAGGAGCCGAUGAAGGACGUGACUAACUGCGAUAUGCUUCGGGGAGUCGUAAGUAGACUGUGAUCCGGAGAUUUCCGAAUGGGGAAACCCAACAGGUUUUGCCUGUUAUCGCUCAAUGAAUUCAUAGUUGAGCUGAAGGUAGACGCGGGGAACUGAAACAUCUAAGUACCCGCAGGAAGAGAAAGAAAAUUCGAUUCCCUAAGUAGCGGCGAGCGAACGGGGAACAGCCCAAACCAGAGAGCUUGCUCUUUGGGGUUGUAGGACUGGACAUCUGAGUUACCAAGAAAUAACGUAGUCGAAUGAUAUGGGAAGAUCAGCCAGAGAAGGUAACAGCCCUGUAAACGAAACGUUGUUUCCUCAGUCCAGGAUCCUGAGUACGGCGGAACACGUGAAACUCCGUCGGAAUCCGGGAGGACCAUCUCCCAAGGCUAAAUACUCCCUAGUGACCGAUAGUGAACCAGUACCGUGAGGGAAAGGUGAAAAGCACCCCGGGAGGGGAGUGAAAGAGUACCUGAAACCAUGUGCCUACAAGUAGUCAGAGCCCGUUAACGGGUGAUGGCGUGCCUUUUGUAGAAUGAACCGGCGAGUUAUGCUAACGUGCGAGGUUAAGGCGGAAAGGCCGGAGCCGCAGCGAAAGCGAGUCUGAACAGGGCGAACGAGUACGUUGGUGUAAACCCGAAACCAGGUGACCUACCCAUGUCCAGGUUGAAGGUGCGGUAAAACGCACUGGAGGACCGAACCCGUGUAUGUUGAAAAAUGCUGGGAUGAGGUGUGGGUAGCGGUGAAAUUCCAAUCGAACUUGGAGAUAGCUGGUUCUCUCCGAAAUAGCUUUAGGGCUAGCCUCGGAGUUGAGAAUCGUGGAGGUAGAGCACUGUUUGGACUAGGGGCCCGUCUUGGGUUACUGAAUUCAGAUAAACUCCGAAUGCCACUGAUUUAUAUCCGGGAGUCAGACUGCGAGUGAUAAGAUCCGUAGUCGAAAGGGAAACAGCCCAGACCACCGAUUAAGGUCCCUAAAUAUGUGUUAAGUGGAAAAGGAUGUGGAAUUGCACAGACAACUAGGAUGUUGGCUCAGAAGCAGCCACCAUUUAAAGAGUGCGUAAUAGCUCACUAGUCGAGUGAUCCUGCGCCGAAAAUGUAACGGGGCUAAACACAUUACCGAAAUCGUGGAUGCAGCUUUGCUGCAUGGUAGGAGAGCGUUCUAAGGGCGGUGAAGCCGGACCGUAAGGACCGGUGGAGCGCUUAGAAGUGAGAAUGCCGGUAUGAGUAGCGAAAGACAGGUGAGAAUCCUGUCCACCGAAUGACUAAGGUUUCCUGGGGAAGGCUCGUCCUCCCAGGGUUAGUCGGGACCUAAGCUGAGGCCGAGAGGCGUAGGCGAUGGACAACGGGUUGAUAUUCCCGUACCGGUCUGAUUUGUUUGAGCAAUGGAGGGACGCAGGAGGCUAACGAUGCGCACUAUCGGAUGUGCGUCCAAGCAGCAAGUCUGUCGGCGAGUCAAAUGCUUGCCGGCUCAAGGACAAGCUGUGACGGGUAUGAACGAUUUAUCGUUCUAAGUGAGUGACGUCACACUGCCAAGAAAAGCUUCUAGUUAGAAUCAGACCGCCCGUACCGCAAACCGACACAGGUAGUCGGGUCGAGAAGACCAAGGUGAGCGAGAGAACUCUCGUUAAGGAACUCGGCAAAAUGACCCCGUAACUUCGGGAGAAGGGGUGCUGAUCGCAAGAUCAGCCGCAGUGAAUAGGCCCAGGCGACUGUUUAUCAAAAACACAGGUUUCUGCAAAAUCGUAAGAUGAAGUAUAGGGGCUGACGCCUGCCCGGUGCUGGAAGGUUAAGAGGAUGGGUUAGCGCAAGCGAAGCUCAGAAUUGAAGCCCCAGUAAACGGCGGCCGUAACUAUAACGGUCCUAAGGUAGCGAAAUUCCUUGUCGGGUAAGUUCCGACCCGCACGAAAGGCGUAACGAUCUGGGCACUGUCUCAACGAGAGACUCGGUGAAAUUAUAAUACCCGUGAAGAUGCGGGUUACCCGCGACAGGACGGAAAGACCCCAUGGAGCUUUACUGUAGCUUGAUAUUGGGUGUUUGUACAACUUGUACAGGAUAGGUAGGAGCCGUAGAAGUCGGGACGCUAGUUUCGACGGAGGCAUCGGUGGGAUACUACCCUCGUUGUAUGAACACUCUAACCCACGCCGGCAAUCACGGCGGGAGACAGUGUCAGGUGGGCAGUUUGACUGGGGCGGUCGCCUCCUA
rnacentral:rRNA from 1 species